UGGGGAAUAUUGCACAAUGGAGGGAACUCUGAUGCAGCGACGCCGCGUGAACGAAGAAGGCUUUCGAAUCGUAAAGUUCUUUUAUAUGGGAAGAUAAUGACGGUACCAUAAGAAAAAGCCCCGGCUAACUACGUGCCAGCAGCCGCGGUAAUACGUAGGGGGCUAGCGUUGUCCGGAAUCACUGGGCGUAAAGGGUUCGCAGGCGGAAAUGCAAGUCAGGUGUAAAAGGCAGUAGCUUAACUACUGUAAGCAUUUGAAACUGCAUAUCUUGAGAAGAGUAGAGGUAAGUGGAAUUUUUAGUGUAGCGGUGAAAUGCGUAGAUAUUAAAAAGAAUACCGGUGGCGAAGGCGACUUACUGGGCUCAUUCUGACGCUGAGGAACGAAAGCGUGGGUAGCAAACAGG
rnacentral:rRNA from 1 species